UGGCGGCGUGGUUAAGACAUGCAAGUCGAACGAGAGAAUUGCUAGCUUGCUAAUAAUUCUCUAGUGGCGCACGGGUGAGUAACACGUGAGUAACCUGCCCCCGAGAGCGGGAUAGCCCUGGGAAACUGGGAUUAAUACCGCAUAGUAUCGAAAGAUUAAAGCAGCAAUGCGCUUGGGGAUGGGCUCGCGGCCUAUUAGUUAGUUGGUGAGGUAACGGCUCACCAAGGCGAUGACGGGUAGCCGGUCUGAGAGGAUGUCCGGCCACACUGGAACUGAGACACGGUCCAGACACCUACGGGUGGCAGCAGUCGAGAAUCAUUCACAAUGGGGGAAACCCUGAUGGUGCGACGCCGCGUGGGGGAAUGAAGGUCUUCGGAUUGUAAACCCCUGUCAUGUGGGAGCAAAUUAAAAAGAUAGUACCACAAGAGGAAGAGACGGCUAACUCUGUGCCAGCAGCCGCGGUAAUACAGAGGUCUCAAGCGUUGUUCGGAAUCACUGGGCGUAAAGCGUGCGUAGGCUGUUUCGUAAGUCGUGUGUGAAAGGCGCGGGCUCAACCCGCGGACGGCACAUGAUACUGCGAGAUUAGAGUAAUGGAGGGGGAACCGGAAUUCACGGUGUAGCA
rnacentral:rRNA from 1 species